rnacentral:piRNA from 1 species
UGUAAGUAAUUCAAAAGUCCACGUUCUCUGAU